GUGGCGGAUAUGCCACCCGGCAUGCCCUGGCACGUGCCCGGGCUGCCCCACCCCAAAUUUUUUUUUUUUUUUUUUUUUUUUUUUUAAAAAAAUUAAUAAAAGAAACAAGAGGAAAAGAAGUAAACGCGUUUCUCCUUCUUCUCCGUUUCAUUCCUUCCUUUUCGCGAUCGACCACCGCAGUCCGCACCGCAGCACCACUCUCAAAUCCGGUCUCAAAUCUCUCUAUUUCUCAUUCUCUCAGUCUCAGGCCGCUCUCCGCCGCCGCUCUCAGCCUCUCUCUUGCAGUCACAGAUGAGGAGGUUUUUGGUUCCUAGGGAAAGUAUUGAGAAUGCAAAUGUUGUGCAAUCGGAAGCCGUAGAAGAACCUCCACCUAAUGUUGCCUCCUAACUAUUGGCUCCAAUAUAAUCCUGGCUCCGCCACUGC